CACUGGAGGAUUUAUUGACUGACUCCGAUAUUGAUUAUCAAGAAGAAAUGUUACAGCUCUCCCCAAACGCACCGCGUUUACCCAGGGUAUCGUUUGAAGAAAGCAUUUUACGUUAUGAGGAAGCUGAGAAUAGGAGAAAAAGCCGCCUUGCUGGCAGGUUGGAACCAGGACCCGUCAUCCUGCUUGGACCAAAAUAUUUCUUUGCCAAAGAUACCUGUUCCGGAGGAACAGGAAAUACCAGGACCUUUCGUUCCAGAUUUGGACCUAAAUAUUUCACCGCCAAAGAUCCCUGUUCCAGAGGAACAGGAUGUUCCUCAGAGAACCAGGAGAUAUUCCUCAGCAGCAGGAGCAAUACAUUCCACAAAGAGAAAGUCCUCUUGCAGAGAGGCCAGUCCCAGUUUAUCCCUUGCAGGCCCCUGUUUUACCAGAGCAAAUGGAAGUGCCAGAACUUGACGAUGUUAUUCAAAUCGGUGGAGGUGCUGAAACAAUCCAUCCUCCGAGAUCGUCAACACCAGAAAAAUUGAUGGGGUCCAAAAGAAAAGCUUCUGAAACAGAUGGCAGGAAAAGAAAACGUGCUUUUGCGGACCGUCUACCAGAAAGACCAGACGAAGUGCCGCAACCAGAUAUACCCUCAGACGCUCGUGUUUACACCUCGACAAAACCGGUUCUCAACGAGUUAGAUCUUUCUUCAUUGAGGCUAGAUCCAGCAUCUCCUCGACCGACGAAGCAAACCCUACUUGAUUUUCUGGAGAAUUUGUGGGCUGUGACAGACGCUGGAAUUCCUUUCGAAGCCAUCUGCAAGCCUGCCCCUGCAGAUGCACCCAAGCCUGUGAACAGUUAUCCUAAAUCAGACGAUGUAUGUUUGCGAUCAACUGCUGCUCGCACCUUUGCAAUCUUGAUGGAAAUGCAAAGAGAAAAUCUUGUCCACCUAGAGCAAAGCGCUCCGGGCAAAAUCAUUAUUCUCUCACCUUAUCAGUCAUAGACUCAAGAUUAUUUCUUAUUUUUCAGUCUGAAGUCUUGCUGAAAAUAAUAAUAAAACUCUAUUUUACUCUUUCAAGACAAAAACGUAUUUUGUUAUUUCAAGACAAAUUUUAUAUGGCUGUCAGAAAUCCGUUUUUAUAGUCAAUUUUUUGCGAUAAUAUUAUACAUUUAUCAAAUACUUAUCUAUUUUAAGGUAACUUUUGCACCCUUUUUAAUAAUAUCAUGUACUUAUUUCUGUGUUUCAAAUGCUGAAACUGGAUUUUGGAUUAAUGUUUUUAUUGUUUAUUUUUUUCACUUUUAUUACACAUGCAAGCAUGACAAUCUAUUUCAUCUUCUCCCUCUAUUUUUCACUUUUUCUAGGGGGAAAAAAAUCACAUUAUUUGAAUCGCCAGUGGUUGUCUUUUUUUAAAUGUUUCAACUCAUAAUUGUUCUAAACCAAACCAAAUCAGAAUAUAAUUGAGAAAAAUACAUUGAUAACUAACUGUGAGCAAAAAUCAAUGCAAGAAGCUAAUAAAACUACUUCUUUGACACUGUUUUUAUAGAAACUUUUUCAGACAAAAUUGAUGCAAAUGUAUGUAUUUUACAUAGUUUUAUAUGUCCUCUCUUAGGAUAGAAUCUUUUUAGUAAAUUUUUUUUCAUGUUAGUGUUUUCAAAGGCUGAAACUGGGUUUCAGAUUAUAUUUAUUGUUGUUCUUUUCAUUUUUAUUCCUGUAAUGUGCAUUGCUAGUAUUUGUCUUUUUUUAAAAAUUAUUCAACUCAAUUUUGUAUCAAACCAAAUCAAGAUGAAAAUGAGGAAAAUAAAUUGGUACCUUAUGAACUUUUAAGAAAAAUCAACAUAAGAUGCUCAGAAUAAUAGAAACUAUUGUGAUAAUUACCUACACAUAAUGUGAUAAGUACCAUGUGAUAAUUACCUACACAAUACGGUCUUUACAGAAACGUCGUCAGACAGAUUUUUUACUCUCGUCAGAUGUGUGUAUUUUUCUGUUUUUUUAUUGAUACUUCUUCUAUGAUAAAAUGUCAAACAUGUUUUCAGUCAUAUUGUGUUCAUAUUAAUAUUUUUCUAAUUCUGAAACUGGGUUUCAGAUUACAUUUUUAAUUGUUUAUUUUUUCACUCUAAUAUAAAUUAUUUGCAUCCGUAUUGUUAGUGAUUGUUUAUUUAAAAUACUCUACUCAAUUUUGCAUCAAACUAAGUCAACAUAAAAAUGAAGAAAAUAAACUAUAGUCUACGAUUCAAAAAAUGACGGCUGGGGGUAUAGCCAAUGACUGGCUCGGUGAAUUGUUUAAGGGCGAAUCCCAGAUAUAUUUGGAAAGAACCCAGAGAUAUCCCGCCCGGCAAAACGUGUGCAAAAACGUUGCAAAAACAUCGUGACAACGUCCUGUCCUUAAGUAACGUUGCUACAACCUUGUGACAACGUUUUUUCACACGUUUUGCCGGGCGGGAUACAUUAAGAAAAUCUAGGCUUGCUGAAGCCAAUCAACUCUUAAACAAUAUUUUAUGUCAUUGGCUGUAAUAACAAACUGUAAACUUGUAUCAAUAAACGGCACUUACAGUGAUAAUGUAAGUAACAUGUGAUCGCCCUAAAGAUUCCUGCCGAAUUUGUAUCCUGCAUAGGUACCUGUGCAAAGAAGUAGGUUGGUUAUCAUUUCAAUGACUAUCUCAUAGUCCUCUUAUUCAAAAGUUUAAACAUAUUAUUUUCUUGGUGGUAAAUAUUUCAUUUUUAUAUUUGAUUCAAAUGAAAGGAAUGUGCAACUGUUAUGUUGUUAGUAUAGGAGAAAAUCGAUUGAGGGAAUGUUACCCAGAUUGGGCAACUACAUUUAGCCCCUACAAUGCUCCUCCUCAGACUAUAUACCUGUCUGAUUCAUUUUUGUUAUAUGGGAAUAUUUCCUCUUUUUAACUAAAUCCUCACCAGAUGCUAACAAGUGCUGAAAUGUUGGAUAAAUUUUUCUAAACUACUGGUUUGUUUAAAAUGUUUGGCUGAAAAUGGACCCGGUAGUCCUGAGACACGUUUUAGAUGUUUCUAUUCACAAUAUUUAUUAAUUACCCCCCAGAUGAAGGUUGAAGUAAGCAAACACUACGUAAAGAAUUUGAUUGUGUAGUUACAAUUUGGGGGCGAAUCCAGUAUUUUAGUAAAAUCUGUUUGAUGUCUCAUUGUUUACCCACUCCCGCUAUCGAUAGCUAUUGACACACAUACAAUGUUCGACGGCCGAAUUGCCGCCGAAGGGGCGCGCGUGCGCUUUCUAGCGUUUACACGUAAACAUUAAUGCUGACAAUUUGACAACUCUGAAAGUCACCCUGUUGCCAAACUGCAGCCGAUUAAGAAAGGAAUGGGAAUGACUGAAUGAAGAGCGCGGAAAUAGAACUAGAUAUUUUAUUUUGUUUACCGGCUUAAAACGAUUUGAAAAAUUGUAAAUUGGUUACUGUAAGUACGUACUUCGAACCAAGAUGCGACGAGAUAUUCUUCCAAUUGAGGUUUAUUACACCAGUACGUGUUAGGAUUGUGAGUUGACCAAGUUAACCCAGCUCCUUUCUCCUGAGAAAGUAUAAUCGCAUGACGGCUGACGGUAUGAAGGACCUAGUAAAUUAGUAAUACAUGUUUUGACUUUGACGCUAGCAUGAAGCAUGAAGCACAGACGACGAGACCAGAACCAGGAAAAGAUAAUCUUUUUAAAAGUCAAGAACUUUUUGAGCACGGCAACACUGUUGACUUGUACUGAGUGUUCGGCCUCGAUUGCGAAUUGAAUUGCGAUUCAUAGUUUGGCAACCGCGCGAUUCGAGUGACAAGUGCGGAUUUUCGCUGUUUAUCAUUUCGCAUUGAAAACAAAAGUAAAGAAAUUUGCGAAUUUUAAGCUCAUUUACGUUCAGUGAUAUCUUUUACAACGGGAUUAACUCCAUCUCUUGUUUACAUUCGAGUUACUUGCGACGUACCUCCAAAUUUCCUGACGAAACCACUCGAAUUUUCGCUCGUCGAUCUACAUUCUCAUGCUCGGCGUAAACUUAUGUGCGAACUCGACUGCAUUUAAUGGCUGCUAGUGUCAUUGUUAUCAAUUUUUCUCGUCUUAUUGAUAAUGCGACAUGGACACUUCUGUCAGUUGUGUGUUAUGCGGAGCUGUAGACAGAUUAUGGCGAUGUGCUAAGUGCAAAAGUGUGUUCUAUUGUAGCAAAAAACAUCAAACCCAGGAUUGGAAAAAUCAUAAAGCUAACUGUGUGAGCCAUGCUGAGCAUGUAAAUUCUAGCAAGAAAGCCGAAAUAUCCGAAAAUAACGCUGGAAAGGUUCACAGUACCUCUGUCACAAGUGUUUCUACAACAACUGUUCUAUCUUCUAUCGAAGUUAAUGAUAGUCAGAAAUCUAGUCGUUCAAGUAAAUCACUAACCUCAAAAGUAAUAAGCACUAGUCCUGAAAGUAGCUCUGAUAAAAGUAUUCUAAAACCACGGGCUGAACCUGGUAACAUUAAAUUAAAGGAUAACGACGCAAGCGAACACAAGUCCAAUAAUCUUAAGUGCGCAAAAUCUAAUUUUGCUGAUGUUCCUUUAGAUGCUGAAUUGUAUCAAAAGAGCAAUCUAGUGCUGAAAAAUUUUCCGAAGUUA
rnacentral:lncRNA from 1 species